UACGGAGGGUGCAAGCGUUAAUCGGAAUUACUGGGCGUAAAGCGUGUGUAGGCGGCCAUUCAAGUCGGAUGUGAAAGCCCCGGGCUCAACCCGGGAAGUGCACCCGAAACUGGAUGGCUUGAGUAUCGGAGAGGUUGGUGGAAUUCUCGGUGUAGAGGUGAAAUUCGUAGAUAUCGAGAGGAACACCGGUGGCGAAGGCGGCCAACUGGACGAAUACUGACGCUGAGACACGAAAGCGUGGGGAGCAAACAGG
rnacentral:rRNA from 1 species